rfam:Cyanophage P-RSM1 genomic sequence.
UCACCUUUUCUAUGUGCACCCCGCAAACCGAGACCUAUAGGGUGGUUAAAUCACGUCUCUCAUACCUCUGCCUAAGGGUGGUAGAGGAAUAAUAUAUUCA